ensembl:rRNA 5S_rRNA 5S ribosomal RNA
UUUGCCGGCAGCUAGCUUUCUGCAACUCUCACAAGGUCGCCCACUGAAGCUACGCAGGGCUGCGCCCGGUCAGUACCUGGAUGGGAGACUACAUGGGAAAGCCAAGUGUGCCGCAAGC